rnacentral:rRNA from 1 species
UGAACUGCGGAAGGAUCAUUGUCGAAACCUGCCUAGCAGAACGACCCGCGAACCCGUUUACCAACGCUCGGGGGGGCGGGGGGCUCUCUUGCCCCGCGCCCUCCCGCGCGCCGGGGGCCGCGGUGCAACCGCGCGCUCCGGGCGCCCUUAACGAACCCCGGCGCAAGUCGCGCCAAGGAAACGCAAAGAAAGAGCGCGCUCCAACGGACCCGGAGACGGUGCCUUCCGAUGGAGCUGCGCGACCUUCGACGAGUCUAAACGACUCUCGGCAACGGAUAUCUCGGCUCUCGCAUCGAUGAAGAACGUAGCGAAAUGCGAUACUUGGUGUGAAUUGCAGAAUCCCGUGAACCAUCGAGUCUUUGAACGCAAGUUGCGCCCGAAGCCGUCAGGUUGAGGGCACGUCUGCCUGGGCGUCACGCACCGUUGCCCCCCCAAACCCGGUCGUCCCCUCCGGGGGCGCCGAAAGGCGGGGGGCGGAAGAUGGCCUCCCGUGAGCGAUCGCGCUCGCGGUUGGCCCAAAAGUCUGUCCUCGGCUGCGAGCGCCGCGGCAUUCGGUGGUUGUCGACUACUCGGUUGCCCCGCCGCGCGCGCUGCGUCUGUGCCUUGUGACCCCCCACGGAGGGACCCCAUCGCGUCUCGAAGGAUUCGCUUCCAACGCGACCCCAGGUCAGGCGGGCUACC